rnacentral:lncRNA from 1 species
UUUACUUCUAGGAAGUCCUUAGGUUCCCUGCCUCCAGACCCGAUUUUCUUGCCUCACCCUUACCCCUCACCCCUCACACAAACACCCUCAGCCCUCCCAAAGCCACCCUCAGCCCUCACACAGGCACCCUCAGCUCUCACACAGGCACCAUCACCCUCAGCCCUCAAACAGGCACCCUCAGCCCUCACACAGCCACCCUCACCCUCAGCCCUCAUACAGGCACCCUUAGCUCUCACGCAGCACCAUCACCCUCAGCCCUCACACAGCCACCCUCACCCUCAGCCCCACACAGUCACCCUCAGUUCUCACACAGGCACCCUCAGCCCUCACAGAGCCACCCUCAACCCUCAGCCCUCACAGAGCCACCCUCAACCCUCAGCCCUCACACAGGCACCCUCAGCCUCACACAGGCACCGUCAGCCCUCACACAGCCACCCUCACCCUCAGCUCUCACACAGGCACCCUCAGCCUCACACAGGCACCCUCAGCCUCACACAGGCACCCUCAGCCUCACACAGGCACCCUCAGCCCCACACAGGCACCCUCAGUUCUCACACAGGCACCCUCAGCCCUCACAGAGCCACCCUCAACCCUCAGCCCUCACACAGCCACCCUCACCCUCAGCUCUCACACAGGCACCCUCAACCCUCACACAGGCACCCUCACCCUCAGCUCUCACACAGGCACCCUCAGCCUCACACAGGCACCCUCAGCCUCACACAGGCACCGUCAGCCCUCACACAGCCACCCUCACCCUCAGCUCUCACACAGGCACCGUCAGCCCUCACACAGGCACCCUCAGCUGUCACAGAGGCACCCUCAGCCCUCACACAGGCACCCUCAACCCUCAGCCCUCACACAGGCACCCUCAACCCUCAGCCUCACACAGGCACCCUCACCCUCAGCUCUCACACAGCCACCCUCACCCUCAGCCCUCAUACAGGCACCCUUAGCUCUCAUGCAGCACCAUCACCCUCAGCCUCACACAGCCACCCUCAGCCCUCAGCCCCACACAGGCACCCUCAGCCCUCACAGAGCCACCCUCACCUCAGCUCUCACACAGCCACCCUCACCCUCAGCCCCACACAGGCACCCUCAGCCCUCACACAGCCACCCUCACCCUCAGCCCCACACAGGCACCCUCAGCCCUCAGCCCUCAGCCCUCACACAGCCACCCUCACCCUCACCCUCACACAGCCACCCUCACCCUCACCCUCAUACAGGCACCCUCAGCCUCACAUAGGUACUCUCACCCUCAGCCUUCACAUUUCCCUCAACUCCACGUCCCGCCUUUCGCGCAUCGCCUGCUGCUCUCCCACUCAGCGCCACCUCAGUCCCACGAAGGCCGGGCUAGGAUCCCGUGGCCUGCGUGCUGACCAACGUCAACUACAAUUCCCAGCAGGCACCGCGCCUGUGUACACUUGA